CCUACGGGAGGCAGCAGUAAGGAAUAUUGGUCAAUGGACGGAAGUCUGAACCAGCCAUGCCGCGUGCAGGAUGACGGCCCUCUGGGGUUGUAAACUGCUUUUAUAGGGGACGAAAAAAGGGGAUUCUUCCUCACUUGACGGUACCCUAGGAAUAAGCACCGGCUAACUCCGUGCCAGCAGCCGCGGUAAUACGGAGGGUGCAAGCGUUAUCCGGAUUUACUGGGUUUAAAGGGUGCGUAGGUGGGUCGGUAAGUCAGCGGUGAAAUCUUCGAGCUUAACUCGGAAACUGCCAUUGAUACUAUCGAUCUUGAAUCGUCUAGAGGUAAGCGGAAUAUGUCAUGUAGCGGUGAAAUGCUUAGAUAUGACAUAGAACACCAAUUGCGAAGGCAGCUUACUAUGGAUGUAUUGACACUGAGGCACGAAAGACGUGGGGAUCAAACAGGAUUAGAUACCCUGGUAGUCCACGCCCUAAACGAUGGAUACUCGACAUUUGAGAUAUACUUUAAGUAGUCUGAGCGAAAGCAUUAAGUAUCCACCUGGGAAGUACGAUCGCAAGAUUGAACUCAAAUGAAUUGACGG
rnacentral:rRNA from 1 species